rnacentral:rRNA from 1 species
CCUACGGGCGGCAGUGGGGUAUAUUGGACAAUGGGCGAAAGCCGGAUCCAGCCAUGCCGCGUGUGUGAAGAAGGCCUUCGGGUUGUAAAGCACUUUCAGUGGGGAAGAAAGCCUUGGGGCUAAUACCCUCGAGGAAGGACAUCACCCACAGAAGAAGCACCGGCUAACUCCGUGCCAGCAGCCGCGGUAAUACGGAGGGUGCGAGCGUUAAUCGGAAUUACUGGGCGUAAAGCGCGCGUAGGCGGUCUGAUAAGCCGGUUGUGAAAGCCCCGGGCUCAACCUGGGAACGGCAUCCGGAACUGUCAGGCUAGAGUGCAGGAGAGGAAGGUAGAAUUCCCGGUGUAGCGGUGAAAUGCGUAGAGAUCGGGAGGAAUACCAGUGGCGAAGGCGGCCUUCUGGACUGACACUGACGCUGAGGUGCGAAAGCGUGGGUAGCAAACAGGAUUAGAUACCCCUGUAGUC